rnacentral:rRNA from 1 species
AUGAACGCUGGCGGCGUGCCUAAUACAUGCAAGUCGAGCGAACGGACGAGGAGCUUGCUCCUUUGACGUUAGCGGCGGACGGGUGAGUAACACGUGGAUAACCUACCUAUAAGACUGGGAUAACUUCGGGAAACCGGAGCUAAUACCGGAUAAUAUAUUGAACCGCAUGGUUCAAUAGUGAAAGACGGUUUUGCUGUCACUUAUAGAUGGAUCCGCGCCGCAUUAGCUAGUUGGUAAGGUAACGGCUUACCAAGGCAACGAUGCGUAGCCGACCUGAGAGGGUGAUCGGCCACACUGGAACUGAGACACGGUCCAGACUCCUACGGGAGGCAGCAGUAGGGAAUCUUCCGCAAUGGGCGAAAGCCUGACGGAGCAACGCCGCGUGAGUGAUGAAGGUCUUCGGAUCGUAAAACUCUGUUAUUAGGGAAGAACAAAUGUGCAAGUAACUAUGCACGUCUUGACGGUACCUAAUCAGAAAGCCACGGCUAACUACGUG